AGAAGAAGAGAGAUGGAGAGCAGAGAGAGAGCUCAUGAGAAAGGAAGAGUGCUCGCGAGAGAGAGGGAGAGAGAGAGAGCAUUGCCGAGAGUGCGAGAUCGAGGGAGAAGAGGCCGGAUGAGGUGUGGCCAGGGAAUCGAACAUCACCUUAGGAUGCAAUGGCCAUGGCUGGCCAGCCAGGGAGGCCAAGCCGAGCAGCCAGCAAGCGGGUGGUUCGGGAAUAAGCUGAGGCAACUAGUGGGUCGCGCGAGCAGCUGCUGUAGCGGCAUCGGCUAUGGCAGCAGAGGCGGAUGCGGCUAGCGGCAAUGGCUGUAGCGGCCGACAGCCAUGGAUGUAGCAGAGCAGUAGCGAACAAAGGCCGACGAUAGAAGCUGGGUCAGCUGAGGGCGACGGAAGUCGGCAGCAGCCAAGGUGCGAUGAUGGACGGAGGUGCUAGAAGCACCGACAGCAGCUGUGAUGGCUGCGUGCUAGUGCGGCUAUGUGCGUGAGGCCGAGCUCGUGGUGGUGGCAGCCGUUAAUAGCAGCGGUGCGGUGCGGCCAGCGGUGGCUGCGCGGCGUGAAGUUGAUGGCGAGGGCGAGUUGGUGGCAAAGGCGGCCGACAUGCGCAGCCGAGCUGCUGUGCGCGGGUGCAUGAGAAGAAAGAAGAAGCAGCUGAGGAGGAAGAAGCUGCGCGCACGGGAGAGCUGGAGGAGAAGAACAGUGGAGGAGAGAAAAUAAAGAAGAAAAAAAAAAGAAAAAUAGAAAAGAAAAAAAAAAGAAAUACUGGAAAAUUGGGAAAAAUAGCUGAAAAAUCCAGAAAAAUUUGGGAAAGUCCUGAAAAUUAAUUUGGGGCUCGAGGAGUAGACUAGAGGUUCGAUAUGGGAAUCCGAGGGCAUUAUAGUAGACCAAUAGGCGAUGCCAAUGUGGGUGUUUAGCCGAUUUUCUCUUUCAAAUUAACUGAGGUUCGACCGAGAAGGAAGUGAUCCUAGAGGAACUUAACAUUCAGGCUGGAGUUCGUGCUGACGCAGAGAUGAGGCUUCGAGCCAGGUAAGGGAUGACCCCAUGUGGAGGUGGCCUUGCAAGUUGAUGAUAUAAGUCCAGAAGCAAGCAAGGAUGGCGCCGGGAGGCUGUUGUGGUAAUUAGCUUGUUGCCUGAGAUGUGUUGUUAUGUAAUCUCCUGUAUUCUUUUAUAUGUAUUCAUGUGUUUGAAUGUAAGUGAUAUUAAGCACUAGAGGUAUCUAGUUGUUGUAAUCAUAACAGUGUGAUAGAUGAUUGUGAGUCUGCGUGAUUUACAUGUGGCUUGAGUUGUUGAAUCCAAGUUCGGAUCGAGUAAAGACCAACGAGGUAUGUUCACAAAAUCUCCAAUACUCAGCGAUGUGUUGUUAUGCUAGCUUUGUGCCUGGGUCACCUCUGGCUUGCUAUGGGGCGAGCUGAAGAGAGGUGAUGCUCACUCGAGUUUCGGGUCUCGGUUUGUUGAGUUUUUCUUGUUUGAGUUAAGACCGAUUCCUGAGUGAAGAGAAGGGAAGGAUGAAGCCUAGUUCCCACCUAGGGCGUUUCCUGUUGAAACAUAGUCCAACCCUUCAGUUGUGGUUCGUCGGGUGAGUAAUCAAGUUGAUUAUUUACCGGUGGCGCCCGUAAGUGGGAGCGGGUCGUUACAGUUGGUAUCAGAGCAUGGCUAGCUAUAUGAGUGAGGAAGGCUAGCGUGCUUGGGUGUUAAUUAUGGUCGAUUAAGUUAUUAAUGUGAGUAAUUGCCAAAGUUUGGAAUAGAGGUUGUCUGGCAUGAUUUGAAUGUAAGUCGGAAUGUCUUAACUGCUGAGUUGGGGUCGAGAAUAAUUAAUUUGAAAUUUUGAGAUUUUAAUGUACGAUUGGUCCGAUAACCUUGAAAGUUGGACACGUGGACCGAGGACCAUAAGGGAUUGGGUCGAGUUAUUGAGGCUUGCAAUGGUUUAAAUGGUAUGUUUGGAUAUUCCUGUUCUAGGGAUGAGAAAAUACCCUGGAUUGAGAUGAUAUACCUGUGAGAGGUAUACGGGUUGAGCAAAGAAGAACCGUAAACCCAAGUGUGGUGUCGGUGUCAGGAAAACCUGAAUAUUGAAAUUUGGGUGCAUGGUAUGUUCUAAGGAUGAGGACUCCUUGAGAUUGAAGUGUUGAGGCUCGUGUGGGGACACGAAAUCGAAGCAUGACUAGUCCGGGAAGGGAUUAGUAGAGCGUCCCGAUGUCGGGGAUUCGUCAAGCAUGUUCGAGGGAAUAGAGUUGUCCCUUGGAAGGGGUGCGGUAAGGCAUGUGUGCUUGAGAUAAAAUGAGCUAAGGUGGGUGUUAACUCGAGGCUCAAGGAAAAGAUUCGACAUCAGGCGAUAUGAUCGUAUUGUUAAAAUAAUCUCGGAGGGGAUGUGCCUAGGGUAUGAGUGGACCCUAGUUGGCUUCUUGAUGAGAUGAGGUCUAUCAUUGGGAAUGAUAGACGUGUGGAAAGUGGACCCAGCGGGUGUUUGCAUGAGAUGGAAGUCCCAAGUGAGUCGAGCUAGAAUCCAGGGGGAUCCAGAUUUGGGAUUAUGGAGUUGGGCAUGCGUUGAUAUGCGUGUGGGAGCCAUUGGGUUAGAAGUCUUGGUUGAGUAAGGCCAAGAGACCGUUCAUGUGAUUGAUGGAUGAGGGACCAAUCAAAACUCUCAUUAUGACACUUGGGGUCAGAUGGGAAGCCUAAGGUUGGGAGAUGAGAGGUGAAUAGACCCUCAUUAUGAUGCCUGGGGUCGUGAUGACGCCUAAUGUAACGACCCAUUCCCGGGUUUAUGCCAUUAUUGAUAUUUAUUUUAGAUUGGUGAAGAUAUAUAUAUAUAUUGUUUUUAUUUAUUAAAAUGGAAAUAGAAAAAGAAAAUGGCAAAGUUGUGAUAUGGUGCAAGAGCAAGGGUAAAAUGGGAAGAAAAGAGAAAUAUAUAAGCAAUUUUGAUUUCAAUUCUCUUCAUUCUCGUUCUUCUCUUCUUCUUGCCUUCUACAAGUUCCAUCUUCUUUGAAAUUAAGCUCUAGGAAGAGAUUUGGUGGAGGAAAUUAGAGGGCUUUUACUUGGAAGCUUGAGGAUCUUCUUCUUCUCCACUUAAAUCACCCAUUGAAGCAAAGGCAAGCUCCUUCUUGUUCUCCAUCCUUUCUUUUUUGUUGGAUGUAAGUUCUCUCCCUUCUUUUCUUCUAAAAGUAAGUUCUAAACUCUCUUUGCUUUCUUUUGAAUCCCUUGGCUUUGAUGUUUUUCAAGAAAAGCUUGGUUUUGAAAGCCAUGUAGAAAUGGUUGUAACUCUCUCAAAUCCCUUGUUUUAUUUCCUUUGUUUCAUUUGGGUCUUGAAAUAGAGGUUGUAGUACCCCUUUUGAAUGAGGGAUUAUGGUGGAAUUGGAGUUUAUUGGAGUAUUGGAAGGUUUGGAAGGGGUUUGAAGGGUUUUGGGGGUGUUUUGUUCGUCAUUUUUGGGUUUUGGAGGUUCAACAGUCAACUCUGGGGUGUUGGGAGUUGACUUUUCAUGAAGGGUUCUCGGCUAGGUCGACUCUGGGCAUGUGACAGUCAACUUUGCCUCGAGAGUCGACUCCCAGGUGUCGAAAGUUGAUUGCUGCAGUAAGAAGGUUUGUGAAUUGAUUAGGUGAUAUCCUAUGGUAUGAAAAAAAAAGAAAUGCUGGAAAAUUGAGAAAAAUAGACGCAAAAUCCAGAAAAAUGGGGGAAAGUCUUGAAAAUUAAUUUGGG